rnacentral:lncRNA from 1 species
GAGCCUCAGGGAGCGUGAGCGGAUCCGAGGGUGUAAUGUGUGUACUCGAGUGUGCGUGCCUGUGUGUGGCUAAAGAUAGUGUGUGAGCGCCUGGACAGAUGGUUACCCUGCCUAGGCCAUGCGUGUGUGAGUGUGUGUGGGUACCUCAUUCUGCUUUGUGUAAAUUCAGCUUAUCCGGGAGCUUGUCCCUCUUCCAGGCUCUGUUGGGAAUGUGCGCGUGGGCUAUCAGGUUAUGUGUGUGGUCUGACUUUUUAUGAGAUCUGUAAGACUAUGUAGGAUUUACUACGAAUGGGAGAGGCAGGGAUUGCAAAUGGCCAUGUUGUGUAAUUUCUACCAAAGUGGCUGAGUGCCUUUUCCUUUAAGGAGGAAAAUGAGAUAUGAAAAGAAGCAAAUAAGGCUUGUAGUAUAAAAAGCCUCAGUUAGGAGAAAUAAGGGCUUUUUUCCCCCUUCGGACUAUAUGUUACACAGCAUGGUGAAUAUAGUAAAUAAUAAUGUAUUAUACAGUUCAAAAUCGCUAAGAGUACAUUUCAAAAGUUCUCACCAUGAAAACUGAGAAGUAUUUGAGGUGGAUAUGUCAAUUAGCUUGAUUCAGUUAUUCCACAUUGUAUUCAUAAGUCAUAACAUCGAUUUGUACCCCCUAAAUAUAUGCAACUAUUUAGAUAGUUUAAAAUUUAUAGCAAUCCAGUCUAGCCAGCUAAGAUGGAGCAACAGGACUGAAUUUACUCUCCUGCCUAAAACAACUAAAAACAAAAACAAACAGGCAUUUAUAAGACAAUGGCUUUUAAACGUUGUGCUGGACAGUGGUCCUUGAGGAGGGAAAACAAAUGAGGUGAGCCCUAUGAUUGCCUUGAUUUACUAACUAGAGGGAGCAGCCAAAAAGAGCUAGGCAGACUCCCUGAGUUGAAGAGAUAGAACUGGGAGAGCAGGGAGGCCAAAGCAGCUGGAACUGUGAGUUGUAUAUCAGAAAGGAGAAAGCUACACAGAGAAAGAAGGAGCUGUGGAGAUCUACAACAGAUCUCACUCCAGUCUUCCGCUGAUUAGAGCAUGUGUGUGAGGAAGCUACCUAAGGGCAGGAAAUAAUCAUGUAUGAAGAAAAGAGAGAGCAAUUACUAAAGUUUGCACAGGGUAGGAAAUUAAUUCUGCUCCCACAAGGCAGAGUAGAAAGAUACCCAGUGAUUAUACAGGACCAGAAAUAGUGCCUGAUCCUGGCACCCCGACUGGAAAACCUCAUAAUUCACAACUCAAAUGGUUUUGCUUCAGUAGUGGGGCAAAAUUAGCUCUAAUGUAAAAGCUACUCUGAUUCUAUCUUAGAAAUCUUAAAAGCCAGCCACCAAAGGAUUAAACCGUUUUUGAGAACAAAGUGUCCCAGAGCAAAGCACAAGAAUAUUUACAGGAAAUUAAAAAUAACCAACACCUAACAAGGUAAAAUUUGCAACAUCUGGAAUCCAAACAGAAUUAUCAGGCAUGCGAAAAGAAGCAGGAAAUGAGAAAAAAAAAUCAACCAAUUGAAAUCAUCCCAGAAAUGACAGAGAUGAUAAAAUAAGAGAACAAGGACAUUAAGAAAGUAAUUAUGACUGUAUUCAAUGUUUUCAACAAGUAGAAAAAAUAAACUGAGCAUGGGAAGUAGAGAUGUGAAAAAUCUUUAAAAAAAAAAAAGACACAAACCAAACAUCUAGGAGAUAAUAAAACCACAUCUAAGAUUUUUAACACCCUAACACACACACACAGACACACACACACACACACACACACACACACACACACACACACACAGGAUUAAUAGGUUAGACAUUACUAAAAAAGAAACAGUAAAAAACCUGACGGGAGGCUGAGGCAGGAGAAUGGCGUGAACCCAGGAGGCAGAGCUUGCAGUGAGCCAAGAUUGUGCCACUGCACUCCAGCUUGGGUGACAGAGCGAGACUCUGUCUCAAAAACAAAAACAAACAAACAAAAAAAAACUUGAAAGCAUUGUGAUAGAAACUAUCCAAAAUGAAAC